GAAGGUUUGGUCCUGACCUUAGUGUUAAUUGUAACUAAAAUUAUACAUGCAAGUUUCAGCCCUCCUGUGAGAAUGCCCUAAUUAUUCUAUUAAAUAAUUAGGAGCGGGUAUCAGGCACACGCACGUGGCCCAAGACACCUUGCUUAGCCACACCCUCAAGGGAUCUCAGCAGUAAUAAACAUUGAUUACAUAAGCGUAAGCUUGAAUCAGUUAAAGUUAACAGAGUCGGUUAAUCUCGUGCCAGCCACCGCGGUUAUACGAGUGACUCACAUUAAUACUCCCCGGCGUAAAGAGUGGUUUAAGGAUAGCCUAUUAUAAUUAAAGUUAAGACCUCAUCAAGCUGUUAUACGCACCUAUGAAGGGAAUAAACACCAACGAAAGUGACUUUAUAAAACUAGGGGCCUUGACGCCACGAUAGUUGGACCCCAAACUAGGAUUAGAUACCCUACUAUGUCCAACCACAAACUUAGACAAUGCCCUACUACAUUGUUCGCCAGAGUACUACAAGCGCUAGCUUAAAACCCAAAGGACUUGGCGGUAUCCCACACCCACCUAGAGGAGCCUGUUCUAUAACCGAUAACCCCCGUUUAACCUCACCACUUCUUGCCCACUACCGUCUAUAUACCGCCGUCGUCAGCUCACCCUGUGAGGGAACAAGAGUAAGCAAAAAGAAUUAACUUCCAAACGUCAGGUCGAGGUGUAGCAAAUGAAGUGGGAAGAAAUGGGCUACAUUUUUUAUUAAAAAUACACGAAUGGUAUUCUGAAAAUAUACCUAAAGGUGGAUUUAGCAGUAAGAGAAGGUCAGAGUACUUCUCUGAAAUUGGCUCUGGGAUGCGCACACACCGCCCGUCACUCUCCUCAAAUAAAUUUCAUCCGUUUAUAUAAAAUAAUUAACUUAUAAAGAGGAGGCAAGUCGUAACAUGGUAAGUGUACUGGAAAGUGCACUU
rnacentral:ncRNA from 1 species